GUGAUUGCCCUCAAUCUUUUUCCAAAGAGACUUAGCCAAUUGAUUCAGGGAACUGUACACUUGAGAAAGGGAAAUCCAAACAAUAUAAGGACUUUUGACAAAGGGUCUGAGUUCACAGUGACACUUGGAUACUCAGUCUGCAACCCAUGACUGAUCAACACUGGGCUAUAACAUGGUCAGGCCCCUUACCCCAAACUAUGGAGAAUUCUGAAGGACCACGCAGGCCCAGAGCUCCCCAUGUGUUUGGCUGAGGCCUUCUUUUGGACUGCUUUGCAUCUCAUCUUCUCUCUCUGCCCAAUUCUACCUCCUUCCCGUUCUUCCAUGGGUGUUGAUGGCAAAAACACUUCAUACUGAUGUCCUGCAAGCUAAUCUUCUCAGAGUCUCCUCCCGGUUAACCAAUCCACAGCACUGGGGGAGUCUGGGAACUGGUAGGAAGUGAGAGGUUCCUUGUGUGGGAUCUCUUCCAGUUGCUCCUCCAGGUCUUUCCUCCCUCCUUCUUCUUGCUCUGUUCCCUGAUCUAUGGACUGCGUCAUCCAAGCCCCUUUGCCCACUGGCUUCUCAAGGGAGCCCAACAGGAGACUGAAGGGUGGGAGAAGAAAGCAACGAAAGUAUUUGUCACCCAGGCUCCCUCACAGUCUGGCCAAAGACCAGUGAGAGCCAUGCUGCACAGAAGCUUAGAAAUCAAGCAGAUGUGGGUCCAAAGUUUUAGCUGCAUGACUGAAACAUGCGAUCUCACCUCUCUGAGCCUCAGUUUCCUCAUCCAUACCCAAGAGAGCAAUGACACCUACCUGUGUCAGGAUGCUUUUAGCUCUAAGCAACAGAAAAUAUGAACUGAACUGAAAAAAAUAAUAAUCACCUUUACCUCAUAUAGCAGGAAAUUCUGAGGUCCUGAGGAUUCUGAGUGAAGAGCAGUUGGGGCUCUGGCACCAUUUCUCUCCAGUUCUCUUGCUUUGCUUGGCGCUCCUUUGUGUGAAGGUUUUGUCUUCACGCUGCCUUCCUUCACUGUUGAAAGAAGACCACAAGCAGCAACAAUGGAAGCAUGCUUUCUCGUUCCCAUCCAGUGGAAGAGAGUGAAUAGCUUUCCCCUGAACCAUGGAAUAAAGCCUUUCCUUCAGUCUGACUGGAUCAACCUAGUUUGCUUGUCCACCCCUUUACCCGUGAAAAUAGCUGAUUGUCCAAGGCCUAGGGACCAAAUCAGUCAUUGGGCAGGAGAAUGAUAUGACCAUGAUUCAUUUAAACUAAUCAGGAUCCACCCCUGGAGCUGGAGUCUCACAGGCUUCCUGGAGGAAAGACAGACACCGUUCCUGGAAGCGCUCAGGUGAACAGCAUUCUGAGGAGAGCGGGCUUGGGCUGGGGUAGCCGGAUGCAGAGUGCGACUGGGCUCC
rnacentral:lncRNA from 1 species